rnacentral:lncRNA from 13 species
UAAUAGCAACGCUCUCCUUGGUCACUGACUUUAAUGCCACUGUCAACAUGUUUUAUUGGUAUUAGAAAAUGUACCAAAUUAUAGCUACAUUCACAGGCAAAUGUAUAUGGGAAAGUAAAAUUACAUGGCAAGUUACUGUAUAUUUUCUUUGAUUGCCAGAGAUUUUUGAGUGUUCCGUAAAUACUUUAAUUACCUGCCCUUUUGAGUUUAUUGACCUGUUUAUCUGACUCGGGAGGAAUAUCCUACUAAUGUCCCUGAAUCCACACUGAAAAGAGACAGGAAUGAGAUAGAAAGCUACAAAGAGUGGGGAGUCAAAGCAGAACAGAAACUACUACUCUCCCCCAGAAUUCCUAGAAGAUCUCUAUUGACAACCAAGACCGAGACUCCCCGGCUACUCAAGCAACAACUUCUCUAUGAGUGACACAUUAUUCACAGGGCUCGGUACAAACAUGAGGCUCCCAUGUCCUUCCAUUUGACGGUCGUAGGCGUUUCCUAGAACUGACCAGAUGCUUGGAAUUCGAGGGAGGGCCGGUACCGAGCCAAGGAAGGGUGAUGGGAGAGGGGGUGGGAAUGUGGGGAGCAGCACAGGGCCUCUUAAUUCGUGGAAAAAUACUGCAGACGUUGACAGAGGUUCUACUGGGAGCUCGAGAACCUGACCUCCGCGAGUGCCCAACGUUGUUGUUCUGCAUUACUCCCCUUCCUAUGACUCAUUUACUGCCAUCCAAGGAAGCCAAGAAGAAGAAGGUGGAGGUCUCCCAGCACCAACGAGUAAGAAACCUGAGACCUAUGAAAGUAUCUCGCAGCAGCAGAGACUUGUGA